rnacentral:misc_RNA from 1 species
GCUCCUUUUGAAGCAAUGGCUCAAAGAAGAGGAGCUAAUCCUAAACAGGAUCAAUCUUAAAGAGACCCAAAUUGAUUCAGUCCGCAAAGAGAUCACGCAGCUCUACAUCUUCUUCUUUCUCUUCCACUCCAUUGCCUUGCUCCUCCUCUUCAAUGCCUCCUCCAGAGACCCACCUGGAAGUGGGUCCUCUUGCAAGAGAUCAUGGAUCCCAUCAUUGUGUUCUCUUU